rnacentral:rRNA from 2 species
GAUGAACGCUGGCUGUGUGCCUAAUACAUGCAUGUCGAGCGAGGUUAGCAAUAACCUAGCGGCGAAUGGGUGAGUAACACGUGCUUAAUCUACCUUUUAGAUUGGAAUACCCAUUGGAAACAAUGGCUAAUGCCGGAUACGCAUGGAACCGCAUGGUUCCGUUGUGAAAGGCGCUGUAAGGCGCCACUAAAAGAUGAGGGUGCGGAACAUUAGUUAGUUGGUGAGGUAAUGGCCCACCAAGACUAUGAUGUUUAGCCGGGUCGAGAGACUGAACGGCCACAUUGGGACUGAGAUACGGCCCAAACUCCUACGGGAGGCAGCAGUAGGGAAUAUUCCACAAUGAGCGAAAGCUUGAUGGAGCGACACAGCGUGCACGAUGAAGGUCUUCGGAUUGUAAAGUGCUGUUAUAAGGGAAGAGCAUUUGCAAUAGGAAAUGAUUGCAGACUGACGUACCUUCAGAAAGC